UUUUUUUUCCUGUGAAUUUUUAUUUCUGGGAUUUUUUUUCUGGGAAUCUUUCCAGGAAUUUUUUUUCCAGAUUUUUUUUCCCAUUUUUUCCCCCAUUUUUUUUCCUUUUCCAGGCAUUUUUUCCCAGGAAUUUUUCCCAUUUUUCCCCCAUUUCCUUUCCCCCCCAAAUUUUUUAUUUUAUUUUUUUUUUCCUUUUCCAGGCAUUUUUUUUUCUGGGAAUUUUUUCUCCGGGAUUUUUUUUUAUACACAAUUUUCCUCCACCCUGUUUCCUUUUCUUCCAAGAAUUCCACGUUUUUCCCGAGAAUUCCUCCUUUUUUCCUGGGAAUUCCAUGUUUUUUCCUAGGAAUUUCAGUUUUUUCCUGGGAAUUUUGUGGUUUUUUCCAAAAAUUCCACAUUUUUCCCAAAAAUUCUGCGUCUUUUCCUGAGAAAUCUGAGUUUUUCCUGGGAAUUCAAUGAUUUUUCCCAAAAAUUCCACAUUUUCCCAAAAAUUCCACAUUUUUUCCCAAAAAUUCCACAUUUUUCCCAAAAAUUCCACAUUUUUCCCAAAAUUUCCCAAAAAUUCCACAUUUUCCCAAAAAUUCCACAUUUUUUCCCAAAAAUUCCACAUUUUUCCCAAAAAUUCCACAUUUUUCCCAAAAAUUCCACAUUUUUCCCCCAAAAUUCCACAUUUUUUCCCAAAAAUUCCACAUUUUCCCCAAAAAUUCCACAUUUUUCCCCCAAAAUUCCACAUUUUCUCCCAAGAAUUCCAUGUUUUUCCUGGGAACUCUGUAUUUUUUCCUGGGAAUUCCAUGGUUUUUCCCAAGAAUUCCAUAUUUUUUCCUGGGAAUUUCAGGUUUUUUACCAAAAAUUCCACGAUUUUCCCAAAAAUUCUGCGUCUUUUCCUGAGAAAUCCGAGUUUUCCCUGGGAAUUCAAUGGUUUUCCCAAAAAAUUCUGCAUUUUUUCCCAAAAAUUCCACAUUUUCUCCCAAAAAUUCCACAUUUUUUCCCAAAAAAUUCCACAUUUUCCCCAAGAAUUCCACAUUUUUCCCAAAAAUUCCACAUUUUUCCCCAAGAAUUCCAUGUUUUUCCUGGGAACUCCGUAUUUUUUCCUGGGAAUUCCAUGGUUUUUCCCAAGAAUUCCACAUUUUUCCCCGGUAUUUCGCAUUUUUUUCCCAAAAAUUCCUCAUUUUUUUCCAGGAAUUUUGAGUUUUUUCCCCAAAAUUUUCUGUUUUUCCCAAGAAUUCCACAUUUUUUCCCCAAGAAUUCCACAUUUUUUCCAAGGAUUUUUGCAUUUUUUCCCGAAAUUUUCUCUUUUUCCCAAAAAUUCCACAUUUUCUCCCAAAAAUUCCACAUUUUCCCCAGGAAUUCUCUCUUUUCCCCAGGAAUUCUCUCUUUUUCCCAAAAAUUCCACAUUUUCUCCCAAAAAUUCCACAUUUUUCCCCAGGAAUUCUCUCUUUUUCCCCAGGAAUUCUCUGUUUUUCCCAGGAAUUCUCUGUUUUUUCCCAGAAAUUCCA
rnacentral:lncRNA from 1 species